CGAGAAUUUUUCACAAUGGGGGAAACCCUGAUGGAGCGACGCCGCGUGGAGGAUGAAGGGCUUCGGCUCGUAAACUCCUGUCACCACAGACAAAUGCGUCACGGUGAACAUCCGUGAAGAUUGAUGGUAUGGGGAGAGGAAGGGACGGCUAACUCUGUGCCAGCAGCCGCGGUAAUACAGAGGUCCCAAGCGUUGUUCGGAUUUACUGGGCGUAAAGGGUGCGUAGGAGGUCUGGAAAGUCGGGUGUG
rnacentral:rRNA from 1 species